UUUGUUUGCAUGACCACAGCCAUCUACAGAUGGUAUGGCUUAUGAAGAUCAACAAGACCAUUCUAGUGCAAUUCCAAGCAAAAUACAGCGAAAUGUUUUGUGAAUCAGAGGCACGAAAUUGUGAUGUGUGGAGUAAGAACAUGUCCUUGUUGCAGGAGGAACAAGUUGAUGAUAUGAUUGCCUUGCUGUACAUAUGAAGAAAAACUUUGCAGUAUGAGAAGUUACAGCUUGAGAAAAAUACUUGUGUUCUGAGAAAUGCUGAACAAAAUGUCAUUGCUGGUGAGGCAAGUGGGAUUGAAAAGGUGAAAUUUUCGUUUGCUGUGAUCACUGUAUAUUUUAGAAGCUGAAAUUUGUACUUAUGGAC
rnacentral:lncRNA from 1 species